rnacentral:rRNA from 1 species
GACAGAGGCCUCGAGCGUUAGGCGGAAUCACUGGGCUUAAAGCGUGUGUAGGCGGGCCCGUAAGUGUCUUGUGAAAUCCCACGGCUCAACCGUGGAACUGCUGGGCAUACUGCGGGUCUUGGGCCAACUAGGGGCAGCCGGAACAAGCGGUGGAGCGGUGAAAUGCGUAGAUAUCGCUUGGAACGCCGAAGGUGAAAACAGGCUGCUGGGGUUGCGCCGACGCUGAGACACGAAAGCCAGGGGAGCAAACAGG